GCACAAUAAAUAGGACCCCAUCCAUCCAUUUUCUACCGCUAAUUCCCGUCGCCAGGGUCACGGGGGGGGGGGGGGGGGGCAUCUUCAGGCAAAGGCAGGGGACACCCUGGACAAGUCGCCAGUUCAUCGCAGGGCUGACAUAUAGAGACGAACAACCAUCCACACUCACAUUCACACCUAUGGGCAAUUUGGAAGUGGCCAAUUAACCUAACCCCACUUCUGCAUGUUUUUGGGAUGUGGGAGGAAACCGGAGUACCCAGAGUAAACCCACGCAGACACAGGGAGAACAUGCAAACUCCACACAGAAAUGCCCUGACCUGGAUUCGAACCCAGGACCUUCUCGCUGUGCGGCGACAGUGCUAACCACUACACCACUGUGCCGCCCCUUAACUGAGUUGCUGUCGCAAUUCCAAGUCUGUGUUCCUCUAAGAGCCCAGCAAACCUGAGAGUGAAAUACUAGUAUUUUAUACCUUAGAUUAAUGCCAAUUAACAACAGUGUUUAUGAAUGUGUAAAAGAUAAAAUAAAAUAAAAAAAGGGGGGGGGGGGGGGGUUGCACAAUAAAUAGGACCCAUUUAUGUAAAUCAAAUAGCAGAAUAACAGAUUAUAGCUAUGCUAUUGCUAUUAAUCAACUAAUAAAUAAUCAGUCAAUCUCUAAAGAAGAUUAGUGCAGUUUGGCUCAGAUGUCCCAUUUUUUUUAUUUUUUAUUCCUAAUUCACUGAUUGGACAUCUCACACUUUAAUCAACAGCAAUUAACCAGAAUGGCUCAUGGUGAAUGUAGAACAUCUUAAUGUAGCUUAUUAAACUUUUCAAAUGCAUGUCCAUUUUUUGUUGAUUAAAUAAUGGAUAUUUACAGGACAAAAACACUUCUUAAAGGGGACCUGCCAUCAAAAUGUAAUUUUGUCUGUUUUUGUGUCAGAUAAGGUCCAUAUUAUGUUCGUCUUAUGUUGUAAAUGUGAAAACAAACCGUUACGUCGUUUGCAUUCUGUAAAUGUUUAAAAUAAAGGAACGGAUAAACCAGGCCAAUUGAAAAAACAGGUCCUUCUGACAUCGCUCUGACCUUGCUCAUUAUUAUUCAGGAGCGCGUCCUUGGUGAGCCGCGCCCACUCUCUCGUUCUCGUACUCAUUCACAGUCAACAUCACUCUCCAGAGCGGGACCCAGCUACCACUGUAUCCGCUAUGGGUCUCUUCCAAACGACCGGUGUUUCCUUCGGUUCACUGCCGGGAAAAUGAACUUAAAGCUGAAUGAGAAAACAACUUCCACCUCCUCUUCGGACUUGGGGUCUAAAAUAUAUGGUUUAAUACCUGCCGUUUUUAGCCUUUAGCAUAAGGUGACCAGACGUCCCCAAUUUCCGGGGACAGUCCCCGUAUUGGAUGACCUGUCCCCGGCAAAAGCUGUCCCCGAAAAUGUCCCCGAUUUAAGUGUUUCAUGAAUGAGAGCAAAAAUGUUGCGUGUGGGCUCGAACAACGCUUAUUACAGGAGCCGAAUAGGUAGAAGGCACAAGUAAGCAGUCCUGAACAACAGUUCUUACAGGGUUAUUACAAGGGGCAUGCGCUGCUACUAAAUAGUACCGAGACUUUGUCUGUGAUCACACAGCCCCUGCACCGCCGCCGCCGCACCGAAUAUCCCCGGAUAUCAUUACAGACAUCUGGGCACCUUACUUUAGCACACAUUAGCAAAAUGGAUAAAACGAAAUCCGAACCUCCACUGCUGAGCCAAUCAGAGCACAGCAGGCUUCACAGCAGUGAUCCAAUCAGAGCAAAGCUCAUUACCAUAAAUGCUAAUGAGCCAAAAUCAGUUGAUUUUCCUGUAAGGUUUUUUAGGCAUACUAAAACAAACCAUCAAAUAACUUUUCAGCUAAAAUUAUGUUGCAAACAUGAUCAGAGGACAUCAAGGAUUAUGAAAAAAUGAUAAAAAUGGGUAUUAAAUUUUGAUGGCAGGUCCCCUUUAAUAUUUUCAAUUAAACUCCCCAGCUCAACCUAACUCCCUUCUGAAAAUCUGCAAUCAGUAUGUUCACAUUUUUUCCACAUUGAAUGUUUUUUACUAGGGCUGUCAAAAGUAAGCCGUUAAUGCCCAUUAAUCCAUCUUCAUGAUUGAUCUGGUUUAAAUUUUUUUUCACAUAAUUAGCCCAUCUGCAGUGCAGAAUGACUCAAGUUCCCUGAAACAACUCAAUCAGGGCUCUUCACUAACGUUUUAAGUUAAGAGUUCCCUGCAAUAGACAGGCCACACUGUCAACAAUAAAUACACAACAAAGCUUUCCCAUUGUACCCAACCACAGGUACUGUCUAAGCCAUUGGGGUUCAAAACAGUAUCUGUUUUCUUCACCUGCUGCUCGGCCGUAUCUUCCUGUACUUUUUAUCAUCAAUACCUUCUGAUUUGGCCCCUUCAGUCAGCUCUCCCUCUCUAAAAAUUUGGCAGCACCAUUUUGUUUUACCAAUUCAUAUAAAGUUAUUUAAAUCUAUAAAUAAGGGUGUAAACAUGAGUUUUGCCAGUAUGAUCUCCAACAGCAAAAGAGUGUGUUCAUGAACCACCGAAAGCUAGAGGGCUGAGAACAUAAGGCACCUCUAAAAACAGAGGUGGCAAGUCUGUUAUUAACCAUGUCAAACCUUUUGUUGGCUCAAACUGAGUGUUCUUGCUAUAGUGUCCUUAAUAACAGCAUGUUCUUUCACUUCAUAUAAGUCACAUCCAGCUCUGAGACAAGACCAAGACCUUGAAUUAGUGGUAUCGAGAUUGAUCUUCUCUGUUUAACUUGACAAACAUUGGUUGUAUCCUUGGUUAAAAAUUGACUGGUUAAAGUGGCUUAAGAGUUGCUCCUCUUUUUAAAAUUCUCUUCAUAAAAUCAUGAAAUUUUCUCAAAAUGUGUGCUUAAGGUUCAGAAUAUCAGAAUAUGUGAAGAUUACAUGACUGACAUACUGGCUUUAGUGGGGCUAGACCAUAGACUGUAUAUAGAAUUGAUGCCGUCUGCCUCCUUACCAGGUGUAGACACCGCGAGAACAGCACCCUCUGGUGACGGGCUGCAGAAUAGGUCAUAAAUCCUGCCUCCUCCAGUAAUCCCUAUGAAGCUGUGGACCAACCUUAGAAAUUAAUAACAUGGAAUAUUAAUUUGCCUCCCCCCUGGUUGUGAUGUUGACAUGUAGUUAUCGUAAGACUGGUUUGUACUUAAGUCCUCUUUUUCUGUGCAGCUCCAUUUUUAAAAAUUAGUAGGGGGUUCAUGUUUUCUGUGAUUGACACUUGAUGCAGCCUAUAGAUGUACGACGAUUGUGUAGCUCACCCAGGGGAUAUGCUGUUUGAGCCAAGCAUCAUCACAGCGACUUUCCCACCCAAGAUGUACAACGCUACUGCGCAAGUGGUGGUUCCAGGAAGUGGAGAAGAUCCCGGAAAUACCGAGAGCUUUUCAGCUUCAAAUUCGUAUAAUGAUGGAAGGGGGAACAAAGUUGUCCAUAGUUCAUACAGUCUAUGGGCUAGACAGCUUCGUGACCUCUCAUGUCCCACCACAACUUUGUUUUUUGAAGUUAUGUUGCUGAUUGUUAAUCGAGAAGUCAUGAUUGAUAAGUUUGCCUCACUCGCUGUUAGGUUUGGGCUCUCAAAAGCCAUUAAAUGAUAUUGUUUUCUCAUCUUGUAGUUAUGAUAUUGUGAACGUUUCCAUUUUCCUCCACUUUAUUCACAAAAACUGCUUUCAAGGGUGAAAUACAUGGAUGGAUUGCUCUCAUCUAAAGACUAAUUUAAAAGACCACCUUAAAAUUAAUUUAAUAACAAUAACAGUUGUCUAGACAUAUGUUAUAAUCAAGCUGUUCUAUUUCACCUGUCUCCUAUGUCCAUUAUCCCCCCCUGUUGUAGAUCAACCAAUCACAGCUUUAGGAAGAGUAUGUCAUACCCAGGAAUUCCAGGCAUGGGGUCAACCUCACUGAGACAAAAUGUUCAUCCUCCUCCUCUUGGAGUUGUUCUGAGAUCAUUGAUGAAUCACUCCUAGACGAGAACCAACUUGAUUAUUUUUACAGAUGUUUGACAUAAACCUGAGGAGAGCAAUUUCUUUGGAUUUGAAAAUGAUACAAUCCUUAAAGUGAGAAGGAUUUGUUUUGUAAGCACAUUUGAACAGUUGGCGCUUCAUUCAGACAUUAGCAUGCUUGUCAUGGAUUUCGGUCGGUGUGACUUGAAAUAAGGGUCCUUGUUCAUGCUUCAUAAAUCUCAGAUUGAAGUACCUGAAUAGCACCGGUGUCCUUGUUCCAAACACACAGCAGCUGACGAUGAUAAUGAUGAUGAUGAUGAUGACAAUGAUGAUGAUGAUAAUGGAGACACUCAGGCUUUGCUCAUAAUGUAAACGACUGCCUGCUGAAUGGAACCUUGUAGCGGGCCCUUCAUAGAAGUACAGCUGAAAGUGUGUACACACAUCGCCUAUACAUACUGUACAGCAUCUGCCACACACCUCCUGCCUCCCACACAAAGUGGUUUUCUUUUUUCCUCUCACACACCCACAGCCUCUCCAUAUGCUCACGCACAUACACACUCUUAGGCUUGCAGGACUCUGGUGCUUUUAGCAUGUUUCACCAUGUUGCAUCAUUUAUCUUCCUGUCAGUUUGUGCAAGGGCCCUGAUCUCAAUCCAUAUUCAUGACCAUCAAGUCAUCAAUUACUGUGUGUGUGUGGGAGAGAGAGAGCUGUAAUGUGAUCAAGAAACUUCCUCUCACUCAAAAACUUUAAUUCAGGUUUUUCAAUGCUUUGCAGGACUGAUCUCACAUGGAUCAAUAAGAGUCAGACGCUCUGGAAACACUGGUGCCUGUGUAUCAAUACUAACCUGUUUGAUUUCACAACACAUAGAAAUAACUAGUUUAGGGCUAAACUGAUUAAAGUCUAUAAAGAAGUGAUUUCUUGUAAUGAUCACUUUAUUUACUUUAGCGGGCUUUCUGCCUCCUUAGCUCCAUUUAUUGCACUGUGCCUCUAAUGAGGUUGAUGAUAAAUUUCAAGUUAAUGAGCCGUAAUGGAUGUAAAUGAGCAUAAAUUGAUACAUUAGCGUCCUCCUUCAGGAGCCUCUUAAUCUCACAGAUGUAGUGACUCCAAAUGAGGUAUAAAGUCUUCUCUUAUAAGGCCUGUCAUGAACCCAUGUACCAGACCUGAUUGACCAAAUUCAGAUCUAUUCAGCUGAUACAACACAGAAGGUGAACAGAGCGACACCAGGAUAUAACACGUGAUCAUUGGACAGAAAUGUCUGUCUUUACAAAAUCAGAACUACAUAUGACUACUUUCAGAUUAUUAGACCAGAUUAGAGGAAAAGUGGUGCCUUAAUGUACAAGAUGAGUAUCCAAGAAGAUAGAAGCUGUCUCCCCUUCUAAGUAUACAGCCUGUCACCUUGCAGACACAUGAUUUCAGCCAGGCUUACUGGUUAUUCAUCAUUCAGCAUCCACAUUUCUUUUUUCUUUAGGGCUCACAAUAAUGCUCAGUCUCUUCUUCAUCUUCCUCCAAGAAAUACUGUAAGUUUGUUGGUGGUUCGUCUGUCCUGACGUUUGGUUUAAACUAUAUGGAAAAAUAAAAAAAAUCCUAAAAAAACAAAACUCUUUAAAAAAAAAUAUAUAUAUUUAGCUUAUUUCACACUAACCCAAACAAACUUGAUCACAUUCUGCUCUGCUAAAUGCCAACAAAUCCCACACGCUGCCUUUAAUAGUUUUCCUGCAUCAUUAUUAUUAGAGUAAAUUGGUAUUAUGUCAGUGUAUGUUGGGGACAUAAAGAAAUCACAUUAGCCAUUAUAAAAGAGUAACAAAAACAACACUAUAAAUAAAACCAAAGCACACACAAAACAAAGCUGAAUAAAAAAAUUACAAACUAAAAUUAAUGGUAGUAUAAGGGAAACAGAUGAGAAUAAAAAGGUUAAAUUCAUCAUCAUCAACAACAGCAGUAAUGAAAUAAUGUAACUAAACUAGCACUGGUUUUAUGUUAUUUAGAUUUAUAACUAAAACAAGCACACUGUAUCUUAGAAAGGGUGGUCUGUCCCUUUAAAAAGUAUUUUCCACAAUAACAGGUUAUAAAUGUAUGCGUUACAUUAAUGUUUAUAUCUUUAAAAUAUCAGCACACAGAGCAAACAAAAGAGGAAAUAUCUAGAUCAAUGUUGAUGAUUUUUUGUCUCUCACCAAAGAGCCUGUAGACCUCUUGACCCCUCAUGACGCACAUUUUAUAUUCUCAAUAUUUAGACUUUAAAAUUCUCCCAAAUCUUUAAGUUAUAUUUCAUGCUAGAAGGUAAAAGCAUUGGCAUCUUUCAUUGUCUGAACCAAAGACUCUUUCGACUUCAGACAGUGCAGAGUCCUGCGGGUGUCAGGCCAGGAACCAGAAUCAAUAAAAACCUUAGUCUCCCUCCUGUCUUUGUCUCAUUGGCUCACAAGUUUCCUUAAGUUUUUCAGAUUUUUCAGUAUACUUUGAGACUCAUCGUGCCCUUUGUCCCCGUCAAACCUCUGACCUCUGAGUACCUUUCGUCUGGCUAAGACUCCCGGCUGAAAAGUGAAGGGACAGCAUGUUUACUGUCGGGACCCCGAGGCGGCAACAACCUGCCUGAGGAAAUCAGGUCGACUGAGUCAGUUAUCUUUUUUUAAAGUCACUUCCUAGAAAACACUUGCUGCAGAGAAACUUGCCUGAAUUCACCUGAAUUACUAUAUGUGCUUGCAUCAAUUUCCUUUAGAACCUGACUUUUAUAUUAUUUGACACUUGCUGACAUUUGAAGGAUACUUUUGAAUUAAAGGUAAAAUAAAUGGAGGUAAAUAAGAUUGUCUUUUUGAUUAUUCUCAUUUUUAUAUUUUAAUAUAACUACUCUAAUCUGCAUGGUCAGUCAACUGUUUGUGCAGGUUUGUGCAGGUUUGUGCGUGCGAGUGUGUGCAGCACUCUGCGUGAUGACAGAAAAAAGACAAAAUGUCAAUCAUAACAGCAGUCGGAGCAGAUGCAGAACAUUUCCUUUGAACUGCAGUGAACUCUCCCAUCAUGGAGACAAUGUAUUCACCCUGAUCGGACCAGAGCAGCAAAUGAUCUCAUUUAUUUUCUGAGACCUGCUUAUCUGAUUUUCCAUCUAUUAUAAAUCCUCAAUAAUUUCAUAUUACUGUGUGGGAGCAGGACUCACACACAUUAUACCUCCUCUUUCUGUUUCCUUUGUGAUCAAUCUCAUACAUACACAACCCAGCAUAUGCACUCAAUCUGCUUUGCAUUACAUCAGCAUUGAACUGUUUGGGGUAUUUUCUGUGUGACAGAGGCCCAGACAGCUCCACAGAGAGCUUCAUUAUAUCCGGGCACAGCUGUGAUGAUCACUUUUCUGUAAAGGAGCAAAGAGUUUUGGAUGAUUAGCCAACUGUAAGCUGUCUGACCUCGUGGCACUCAGCUUCACACUUCGGUGGACUAAUUGGCCCGUAAAUCUUUGAGGAAUUCAAACAGUGAUUCAAACACUGACUGUCAGUGUUCGCCCGGCCCAGCAGGGAGCUGUGCCGCCUGCUCGCUGACAGCGCCAUGCCAACAAGCAUGACGCGGAUAAAUUGCUUGAUUUCAGGUAUGCAUCUAUACAUCAGCGUAAGUGACUCGAUAGCUUGGAUGAAGGUCCUCAUUAAUAUCUAUAGUAAUCAGACCCAUUUCUUAGUUUUGUGCAUUUUCUAUGAACCAAAUAAAAAAAAUAACCUCAGAAAAAUCUACCAAAUAAAUCUCAGGGUUAGAACUGAAGGCCAGGUCUAGUUUUCAGUUCGAACAUUUCUGUUAAAACAAAGUUUAAAAGAUGUCCAAGACCACCACUGAAAAAAAGAGUUCAGAGGGGGUUCAAAUGUAAAGGUUUUUCUAUCUGUUUGUACGGAUUUAUUCAGCAUCUGCAUUUAGAUCACAUUUCACUGAAAUAUUAGACUCUGCCUCGCAGAUCAUAUUCUAUAUCAUAUGAUAUAUCAUAUCAUAUACGGUAUAUCAUAUAUGAUUACAGAUCAUAACAGAAGAAAUCAGUAAGACUUUUUCACAGCACUGCUACAAUGGCUGUGAAAGUGUGUGUGUGUGUGUGUGUGUGUGUGUGUGUGUGUGUGUGUGUGUGUGUGUGUGUGUGUGUGUGUGUGUGUGUGUGUGUGUGUGUGUGUGUGUCAUGGUGAGUAUAGGUUUCAUCCUCUGGAGAACUGGAGCAUUAGGACAGACACUUGAUAAUGGUCGGUUUGAUAGCUGGUGAGAAAUUAUGGUGUGGACUGAAGUAGUUUGAUGAUGACAAGCCUAAAUUUUUAUCUCUACAUUCAUGCUGUCAGCAGAGCAGAAACAUGUCAACAUGCUUAUACAGUGUCUAUUUACACGUAUGUAGCUGAUGGGGAACACGGGUCAUUCAGAAUAACAGAUUUGUACAGAGGGAACCGUGACGGAGGUUCCAUUUGAAGUUAGUUUGUGAGGAUUUUGAGUUAUGCAGCAGUUUGGGUUCCUGUGUUCCUCUCCUCUGUGUGUGUUCUCCCUCUCUCUCUCUCUCGCUGCAGCAUUGGAGGCACGACGGGAGGCGGGGCUGGCCCGGACUGAUUGCACGCACCUGAUUCUCAUUGGUGUCAGUUACCUGGCUUUAUUUGCGAGCUCCUCUGACGACUCAGCACUGGAGGAUUUCCCAGUCAUGCAACACGUGUCUUGCCACGCUGAUCUCCCGCCCGUGUAUCCAUCCUGCUUCUCAGUGUUUGUUUGUGAGUUCUUUUGUUACUUUCCAGAGAGUUUUUCCCUUGAGCAAAUGUGAUUUUGUGUUCGAGUUUUUUCCUCCAGUUGAGAAGAUUUUUUUGGUUUACUAUUUCUGUUGCACUUUGUCUUUUUACAUCCUUAGUUGUUACUUGCCCCACGCGGCACUAUCAUUUGAACUUUGUUUUUUCACCAGCUAUUUUGCCUUGCUCCAGUGAUUAUCUCCUAACCCUGGUUUUGUGUUUUUUAGUGGCAGUCCCAGCUGACCGUGCCUUUUCCCAGAAACUGCGAUUUUCUGUUGUUCACUUUGAUCUAUUGUUUAUUGUCAAUAAAUUUGGGCAUUUGUUUCUGCAUUUUUGGAUCCUGGCCUUUGUUCGAUUCUUAACAUAGUGUAACUCCUCAAGCUGUGAAGCUCAUUUAUCACAAAAACCUGGUGAAGAGAUCCCAUCUCAGUCAGCAAACAGGCAAAGAUAUUGAACAAACCAACACGGAUAACCAACGGAAACAAACAGGAUAAAGAGCAGGGAUGACUUUAAUACUAGACAGUUCUUUCACUGAUGAAAUGGAGCAUGUAAAAAAAAUUACAAAACUGACCUCAGAGGAGAGGAAGAGCUAAGAGGACUGGAGAUGAAGCAUCGAAGAAAAUUUGCUCUUGAGACCUGGAAGAAGCUGAAGAAGGAAAGAGAGAGAGGACAGAGAAAGAAACUCCCAAAAGAGAGAAGGAUGCAGGAGGCCAAACAGAGAAAGGAGGAGCAGAGAAAGACUAAUGAACUGAAGGCCCUGCAGAGAUUGAACAGAAGCAGCUGAGGCAGAAGAGGCUUGACUAAAGAAAAGUGGUGUGGGUAGAGGAGGAGCCAGAAAACAGGCUCAGGCACAAACCUAGUGCCAUGGCUACAGCAAGACAGUUGAUUUUUCCUCAGCACACUAAAACUCAGACGGACAAGUGUGAAAUCAGAUCUGGAAGCACUUGGUGAGCAUCAAAGUGCACACAAGGCAGAUGGAGUGGACUAAGGAACGGUUGUAACCUUCUUGAAAUCAAGUUGCUGACUUGAAUGAGGGUGCUUUUAACAAUGGUCCAGUGCUUCAGUGUCUUACCUUUGACACUAAUUACCCACAGAGAGAGCAAACCAGUGUUGUGGAGAAUGCCGGAACUGAUCCCACUAUCUCCUGCAUAAUAAGUGAGUGCUACUAUUGGAGCUAAUUCCCUCGUGAAUAUGUUCACAAGCAGGGUGCAGCAACACCAGAGUAGCUUCAACACUGUCCGCUUUAAACGGCAGCAGCAAAGAAGCUAAAUGGCUAAAACAGCAGGGAGACGACCCAUUGUCUAGUUUUGGUCCUUCUCCACAACCUUUCAAAUCAGCCCCAGGUAUAAACUUCUCUCCUCUGACUUAGAACUUGUCUCAUAGAGUCAGUGUUAUAAAUAACUUAAUUCACACCUAUUUGCCAAUGGAUUUCCAACACUGAAAUGCAAGUUCAGCCAACAUGGAGAAAUUACACCUAGCAUAUAUACAUAUGCUAGGUAUAUGUCUUGAGUUUUGGCUACAGUUUACAUGAGACUCAGAAAAUCUAAGUGAGAGGGACUAUUCAGGCCACCUGAACAGUUGAAUCUGUUCACAUGACCCUAAAAAUAUGGAAACCAAGCAAAUUCAAGAUUCUCAUGCAGCCGACACACUUCCUGUAAGAGCCAGGGCACAUUAGGCUACUGAAACAGAAUCAACAUUGGGGUUUACCAAACUGUUCCAAACCAAACUGGAUUGUAUGGUGGAUUCAUCCAAAUGAUUAAAAACUGGAGACUGGGUUUUAAAUGUCACAACUGCAAUCUCAGGUUAAUCGGCUUUAUUUGUGAAAUAAUUUUUUUCCUUUAAGUGUGAAACAUCAAAUUACAAUCAGAUAAUCCAAUAUUACAGUCUACUGAAUCUUUGAAUGUCAAUCUGGGACUUGUAUUUAUUUUUUCUCUUUUUAACUCAAUCAUCAUCACUCGCUCUUCGAUUACUGUCAUGAAUUGGUUACCACGACAACAGGCUCAACAAUCAGAAAAGACCCUCCAUCAGAGAAUUUGCAAAGCAUGUUACAGCCGUAUUUGACCAAUCUCUGAAUGGCCCUUAACCCCGUGCCCAUAACACUGAGUACAUACGCUCUCCAGAGUUUAUGAUGUUAUUACACUGAAGUCAGUGUGCACUGAGGGAUCGACCACACAUAAUUAGAAGUGUAUUUAUGGUGGCUGUUACAUGCCAUUAAUUUCCAGUAGCUUUAUUGUGCCCAUGCAGUUUUAGAGUGGAGGAUGAUUGGAUUUGUGAGAUGGAGGUUGUAAAUUAAGGGGAAAAGUUAAGAUCUAGCCAUAAAAAUCCAGAGCCUCUCCUUGCGAUUAAAGCCUGGCUUUAAAUAUUUUCAAAGUAUUUAAUGUAAAGUUUGUGUAAUUUAUUUCUGCUGGAUAAAUUGAUUUUCUGUUUCCCUUCUACUGAGUUACUGCCAAUAUAUGUGUACUUCUAAUGUUGCUCCUCCAAAGAACGGCAUCAGGACAGCAAGAACACAUUGGUAGAAACUGUAAGUCCAUGCCAUAUCUGACUCAUUCAUGCCAUGUCCUGUCAGUGUGUGCAUGUCCACCUUUUGAGACUAUAAUCUUAACUAAUCUCUGUGUGACCACAAAGAUACCCAAAUGCCCAUCCGUUUACAACCCCACAGAGUGAUUUCUUUGAUUGGUGUGCCGAGAAACACAUCUGCACAUGUUAACGCCUGUCCUGCACGAUAACAGAUCAGGGUUGUGAACUGGUCAGUCAUUAUUAUCUCUGCAAUCACACACAGUUAUACAGAGCUUAUAAUCUCCUUUUAUUUUCUGGUUUGACUUCCCAGCUCAUUGAUCAGUUGGUCAAGCCACUCUCAUCAGCUUUCUUUUGGCAGCAGCACCUAGUGGGUGGCAGAAGAAGACAGGGAUACCAGUGGAGAGCAACAGAGGUAAUCAUGUCAGACAUUCCUGUUUGGUUUCGCUCCAGGUCAACCCUAAAACUAAGCCCUUAUUGUCUUUUGCUGACAUAUAUUUAGCAAUGGUCUGUUAACAUCAAUGUAUAUCUGAAGGUAAUUGGAGAAAAAUUUUGAAUUUCCAUGAAAGCAACAUCUGAUCAUGGAGUAAAUACAUCCCAAAAAACAUAAACCUCAUGAUAGAUUUAAAAAACUUGAAGUUACUCCCAACUGUUCAGCCUGUAAUGGCCUUGCUUUUAAACUUUUGGCCUAUGGUGUACAUACAUACAUACAUCAAAUAAAUAAAUAGAUUUUUAAAAAUCCACUUUUGUAGCAAUUUCACAUUUUUAUUGGUUUAUAAAUAAUCUUUUCCAU